rnacentral:lncRNA from 1 species
GCUCCUUUGAUGGCAGUCACCAGGAGCCACGGCAACAGGAAGCCACCUUCACAAUGCUUCUUUUCAGGUGGCAGACCUCACCAAAAUGAACCAAACCUGAAGAGGAGGAAAAUGGCUGACACCAACAGCAGCUAUGAGGAUGUAUUUGUGAGGACUUCUGAAAGAGCCGCCAGGAAAUCCCAGAAAUGCAAGGGGACCAGGAGACAGUGGCAGCAAGGAGGGAGGGAAUACAGAAGAGAGCGGCAAGGGUUAAUGUGAAGAUUAAUGAGAUCAUUGGGGAUGGACUGGAGUGCUGUUUACACAUAGGAUGUUAUAAGAAGGAAAAAGGAAAUUACAAGAAAAAAAGACGUUAACAAACAAGAGCCCAGCCCAGCGAGCCCUCCAUGGUCCAAUACCCAGAUCUUUGUGACAGAUUCGAAUUGCUGGCAGUCUCCUCAAGGAGAGAAAGAAGCCAAGCCCUAUACAGCCUUAUCAGAGCACGCAAGGGAAACCAACGGAAAGAAUGCCAAAAUCAGAGGCUGUGCCAUGCACUCGCUUAACAAAUAAAUAUUGAAUACCUACUAUGUGCCAGACACUGUUCUAGAUGCUGUGAAUAAAGCAAUGAACAAAUGAUAAGGUCUCUGCUCAAGUUGAGCUUAUAUUUUAGUGGGGAAAGACAGACAAAAUAUUUAAAUGAGUACAAUAAAUACCAUGAUAGAUGACAAAGAAAAACAAGUAGAGAAAGGAUUAGAAAAGUUGAGUUUUAUGAUUUUUAAAUAGGGUAUUCAGGGAAGCUGCUACAGAAGAUAUAAAGAGCUGAAAGGAACUGAGUCAAAAGGAUAUUGGUGAGAGGUCCAGAAAGAGCCUGCAAAGACUCGAAGGCAAGAGAAUGGCUGUUUAGUCCAAGGAAUAGCAAGGCGCCCAGUGUGGCUGGGGUAGAGGGAUCAAAGAGGAAGAGGAAGUAAGUCAGACAGGGCGCCAUAUCAUGGAUGAUAUUGUGUCUGGCUUUCACUUGGCAAGGAGUAGGAAAUCAUUGGAGGGUUUUGAGCAGAGUGAGAUUAUCUGAUUUACACUUUAAUAAGAUCACUCUGGUUUCUGUGUUUAGCAGGAAGACAAGGGCAGAAGCAAAAGGAUGAGUUGGGAGUCCAUUGCCACUUUCCACUGAUAGGAAAGCUGGAGCAUUGAG